UACGGGGGGGGCAAGCGUUGUUCGGAUUUACUGGGCUUAAAGGGCGCGUAGGCGGGUCGCUAAGUCCGUCGUGAAAUCCCCCGGCUCAACCGGGGAACUGCGAUGGAUACUGGCGGCCUCGAGGAACGUAGGGGUAUGCGGAACUAUCGGUGGAGCGGUGAAAUGCGUUGAUAUCGAUAGGAACUCCGGUGGCGAAGGCGGCAUACUGGACGUUUUCUGACGCUGAGGCGCGAAAGCCAGGGGAGCAAACGGG
rnacentral:rRNA from 1 species